AUCCAGACGAUGAGUCGCAAUCAGGACAAAACGCGUGUCCUGCAU
rfam:Schistosoma mattheei strain Denwood, Zambia genome assembly, scaffold: SMTD_scaffold0000113